GGCCGUUUAGCUCAGCUGGCUAGAGCGUGGUGCUAAUAACGCCAAGGUCCUGGGUUCGAUCCCCAUACUGGCCA
rnacentral:tRNA from 1 species